UUAGCUCAGUUGGAUAGAGCAACGGCCUUCUAAGCCGUGGGUCGCAGGUUCGAAUCCUGCA
rnacentral:tRNA from 1 species